rnacentral:rRNA from 1 species
GGUUAAGCAACUAGCGUACACGGUGAAUGCCACGGCAGUCAGAAGGCGAUGAAAGGCGUGCUUUAAUCUGCGAUAAAGCGCCCGGUAGUGAUAUGAACCGUUAUAACCGGCGAUACCCGGAAUGAAGCAGUGUGACUCGUCACACUAUCAUUAACUGAAUCAUAACAGGUUAAUGAGGCGAACCGGGGAACUUAAACAUCCUAAGUACCCGAGGGAAAGAAAUCGCCGAAUUCCCCGGUAGCGGCGAGCGAGCGGGGAGGAGCCCCAGAGCCUGAAUCAGCAUAUUGUUAGUGGAAGCGUCUGGAAAGGCGCGCGGCCUGAUGACAGCCCCGUACGCAAAAGCGCAUGUGCUGUGAGCUCGAUGGUAGGAACACGUGGUAUCCUGGCCACAGAUAUGGUGCUCCUCCAAGGCUAAAUACUCCUGACUUGACCGAUGGUGAACCAGUACCGUGAGGAAAGGCGAAAGAACGGCGAGGGUGAAAGAACCUGAAACCGUGUACGUACGCAAGCGGUGGGAGCCCACCGCAAAGCGUUUCGCUUUGUGGCGGUGCACAAAAGCAUAACGACAGCUGAAUGACGGUUAACGGAGCGCAAAGCGACGUUCAACAUACAAGAAUCAAGCAGUGGGGCGCUUUGAGGUGGGGUGACUGCGGCCCGCGCGUAUAAUGGGUCGAGCACUAUUCUGUAACAAGGUUAACCGAAUACCAGAGGCCGGAGGGAAACCAGUCUUAACGGGCGUUAAGUUGCAGGGUAUAUAGACCCGAAACCCGGUGAUCUAGCCAUGGGCAGGUUGAAGGUUGGGUAACACUAACUGGAAGGGACCGAACCGACUAAUGUUGAAAAAUUAGCGGAUGACCUGUGGCGCAGGGGUGAAGAAGGCCAAUCAAACCGGGAGAUAGCUGGUUCUCCCCCAGCGAAAGCGCUAUUAGAGUAGCGCCUCGAUGAAUUCAUCUCCGGGGAUGCAGAGCACUGUUUCCGGCUAGGGGGGCCAUCCCGGCUUACCAACCCGAUGCAAACUUCACGAAUACCGGAGAAUGCACGGGAGUUUACGAAGGUGCUAACGUCCGUCGUGAAGAGGGAAAACAACAGACCGCCAGCUAAGGUCCCCAGAACCAUGGUUAAGUGGGAAGCUUGAUGUGGGAAGGCCCGAACAGCCGAGGAUGUUGGCCAAAGCAGCCAUCAUUUAAAAGCGUAAUAGCUCACUGGUCGAGUCGGCCUGCGCGGAAGAUGUAACGGGGGCUAAACCAUGCCGCCCGAAGCGCUGCGGCAGCGAACAUCUGCAAGACAACUUUACGGAGUUGACGAUUGACGGAGCGAAGCGACGUCAAAGCGUUCGUAAAGUCGAGUUGGCUUAGGGAUACGUUCGUUGGAGUAGAAGGCGUUCUGUAAGCCCUGCGAAGGUGGCCUGUGAGGGGGUUGCUGGAGGUAUCAGAAGUGCGAAUGCUGACAUAGUAACGAUAAAGCGGGUGAAAGCCGCUCGCCGGAAAGAACCAAGGGUUCCUGUCAACGUUAAUCCGGAACGGGGUGGGGAGUCGACUAAGGCGAGGCCGAAAGGCGUAGUCGAUGGGAAACGGGUUAAUAUUCCGUACUUGGUAUUGCACUGCGAAGGGGGACGGAAGAGAGGCUAUGAUGGCCGGGCGACGGUUGUCCCGGUUUAAGCGUGUAGGUGUGUGUUCGGGUAAAUCCGGUUCACUUUAACACUGAGGAAGGCGAUGACGAGGCACUACGGUGCUGAAGCAACAAAUGCCCUGCUUCGAGAGAAAACCUCUAAGCAUCAGGUAACAUCAAAUCGUACCCCAAACCGACACAGGUGGUCAGGUAGAAUACCAAGCGAGAACUCGGGUGAAGGAACUGGGCAAAAUGGUGCCGCUUCGGGAGAGCACGCUGACUUGCGGCAGGUGAAGUGAUUUACUCAUGGGCUGAAGUCAGUCGAAGAUUACCAGCUGGCUGCAACUGUUUAUUAAAACACAGCACUGUGCAAACACGAAAGUGGACGCGUAUACGGUGUGACGCCUGCCCGGUGCCGGAAGGUUAGUGAUGCCAGGGGUCGCUGCAAAGCAAAACUCUGAUCGAAGCGGUAAACGGCGGCCGUAACUAUAACGGUCUAAGGUAGCGAAAUUCCUUGUCGGGUAAGUUCCGACCUGCACGAAUAGCCAAUGAUGGCGAGCUGUCUCCACCGAGACUCAGUGGUGAACUCGCUGUGAAGAUGCAGUAUUGCCCGCGGCAGGAACGGAAAAGACCCCGUGAACCUUUACUAUAACUUGACACUGGUUUAUUGAGCCUUGAUGUGUAGGAUAGGUGGGGAGGCUUUUGAAGUGUGGACGCCAGUCUGCAUGGAGCCGACAGAAAUACCACCCUUUAAUGUUUGAUGUUCUAACGUGGACCCGUUGCGGGUUGCGGACAGUGUCUGGUGGUAUUGGAUUUGACUGGGGCGGUCUCCUCCUAAAGGAAGUAACGGAGGAGCACGAAGGGUUGGCUAAUCUGGUCGGACUCAGGAGGUUAGUGCAAUGGCAUAAGCCGCCAGCUUGACUGCGAGCGUGACGGCGCGAGCAGGCAAAACGGGUCAUAGUGAUCCGGUGGAUGCGAAUGGAAGGACCAUCGCUCAGCAGUAAAAGGUACUCCUUCCGGGGAUAACAGGCUGAUACCGCCCAGAGUUCCUUAUCGGCGGCGGUGUUUGGCACCUCGAUGUCGGCUCAUCACAUCACAGGGCUGAAAGUAGGUCCCAAAGGGUAUGGCUGUUCGCCAUUUGUUAAAAGUGGUACGCGAGCUGGGUUUUAGAACGUCGUGAGGAACGGUUCGGUCCUAUCUGCCGUGAGCGCUGGAGGGAACUGAGGGGCUGCUCCUGGUACGAGGAAGGACUGGGUGGACGCAUCACUGGUGUUCGGGUUGUCAUGCCAAUGGCACUGCCCGGUAGCUAAAUGCGGAAGAGAUAGGGUGCGCAGAAAGCAUCUAAGCACGAAACUUGCCCCGAGAUGAGUUCUCCUGAGACUUAGAGUCAUACCCUGAAGGAACGUUAGCGAAGACGACGACGUUGAUAGGCCGGGUGUGUAAGCGCAGCGAUGCGUUGAAACACAACCGGUACUAAUGAACCGUGAGGCUUAACGCU